GCAGGUCUCUGGGCCACUACUGACGCUGAGAAGCGAAAGCAUGGGGAGCGAACAGGAUUAGAUACCCUGGUAGUCCAUGCCGUAAACGUUGGGAACUAGGUGUGGGUCUCAUUCCACGAGAUCCGUGCCGCAGCUAACGCAUUAAGUUCCCCGCCUGGGGAGUACGGCCGCAAGGCUAAAACUCAAAGGAAUUGACGGGGGCCCGCACAAGCGGCGGAGCAUGCGGAUUAAUUCGAUGCAACGCGAAGAACCUUACCAAGGCUUGACAUACACCGGAAACAUCCAGAGAUUGGUGCCCCGCAGGGUCGGUGUACAGGUGGUGCAUGGUUGUCGUCAGCUCGUGUCGUGAGAUGUUGGGUUAAGUCCCGCAACGAGCGCAACCCUCGUUCUAUGUUGCCAGCACGUAAUGGUGGGGACUCAUAGGAGACUGCCGGGGUCAACUCGGAGGAAGGUGGGGAUGACGUCAAAUCAUCAUGCCCCUUAUGUCUUGGGCUUCACGCAUGCUACAAUGGCCGGUACAAAGGGCUGCGAAACCGCGAGGUGGAGCGAAUCCCAAAAAACCGGUCUCAGUUCGGAUUGGGGUCUGCAACUCGACCCCAUGAAGUCGGAGUCGCUAGU
rnacentral:rRNA from 1 species